rnacentral:rRNA from 1 species
CCUACGGAGAGCAGCAGUGGUGAAUAUUGCACAAUGGGGGGAACCCUGAUGCAGCGACGCCGCGUGAGUGAAGAAGUAUUUCGGUAUGUAAAGCUCUAUCAGCAGGAACGAGACAAGACGGUACCUGACUAAGAAUCCCCGGCUAACUACGUGGCAGCAGCCGCGGUAAUACGUAGGGGGCAAGCGUUAUUCGGAAGCACUGGGUGUAAAGGGAGCGUAGACGGCUGAGCAAGCCUGAAGUGAAAGGCGGGGGCCAAACCCCCGGACUGCUUUGGUAAAGGUACGGCUGGAGUGCAGGAGGGGUAAGUGGAAUUCCUAGUGUAGCGGUGAAAUGCGUAGAUAUUAGGAGGAACCCCAGUGGCGAAGGCGGCUUACUGGACUGUAACUGACGUUGAGGCUCGAAAGCGUGGGGAGCAAACAGGAUUAGAUACCCUGGUAGUC